rnacentral:rRNA from 1 species
UAUGGUAGUCUGUUAGUAUAGUUGAAGGAUUUGGAAAAUUCCGCUAAAGAGGGUGAAAGCCCCGUAGACGAAAUGCUAAUAACACCUAGGAGGAUCCUGAGUACGGCGGAACACGAGAAAUUCCGUCGGAAUCCGCGGGGACCAUCCCGCAAGGCUAAAUACUCCCUAGUGACCGAUAGUGAACCAGUACCGUGAGGGAAAGGUGAAAAGCACCCCGGAAGGGGAGUGAAAUAGAUCCUGAAACCGUGUGCCUACAACAAGUCAAAGCUCGUUAAUGAGUGAUGGCGUGCCUUUUGUAGAAUGAACCGGCGAGUUACGAUUGCAUGCGAGGUUAAGUCGAAGAGACGGAGCCGCAGCGAAAGCGAGUCUGAAUAGGGCGAAUGAGUAUGUAGUCGUAGACCCGAAACCAUGUGAU